rnacentral:tRNA from 1 species
UUUAAAUAGCUUAUAAAGAGUAUAAUAUUGAAGAUAUUAAGGAAAUUGAAUAAUUUUUAAAUA